GUUGAACGCUGGCGGCAGGCUUAACACAUGCAAGUCGAGCGGAGAUGAGGUGCUUGCACCUUAUCUUAGCGGCGGACGGGUGAGUAAUGCUUAGGAAUCUGCCUAUUAGUGGGGGACAACAUUCCGAAAGGAAUGCUAAUACCGCAUACGCCCUACGGGGGAAAGCAGGGGAUCUUCGGACCUUGCGCCAAUAGAUGAGCCUAAGUCGGAUUAGCUAGUUGGUGGGGUAAAGGCCUACCAAGGCGACGAUCUGUAGCGGGUCUGAGAGGAUGAUCCGCCACACUGGGACUGAGACACGGCCCAGACGCCUACGGGAGGCAGCAGUGGGGAAUAUUGGACAAUGGGCGGAAGCCUGAUCCAGCCAUGCCGCGUGUGUGAAGAAGGCCUUUUGGUUGUAAAGCACUUUAAGCGAGGAGGAGGCUACCUGGAUUAAUACUCUAGGAUAGUGGACGUUACUCGCAGAAUAAGCACCGGCUAACUCUGUGCCAGCCGCCGCCGUAAAAC
rnacentral:rRNA from 1 species